rnacentral:rRNA from 1 species
UACGUAGGGUGCAAGCGUUAAUCGGAAUUACUGGGCGUAAAGCGUGCGCAGGCGGUUUUGUAAGUUUGUCGUGAAAGCCCCGGGCUCAACCUGGGAAUUGCGAUGAAGACUGCAAGGCUUGAAUCUGGCAGAGGGGGGUAGAAUUCCACGUGUAGCAGGUGAAAAUGCGUAGAGAUGUGGAGGAACACCGAUGGCGAAGGCAGCCCCCUGGGUCAAGAUUGACGCUCAUGCACGAAAGCGUGGGGAGCAA